UCUUUCAAGGUUCAAGCAAACUCUCUUUUUAACCAAUCUCACUCAUUCCCAGCUUUUCCCUUUUUCAUUUUACAUUGAGUUCUUCUUACAUGCAUAAAUUUUUUUCUUCUUUUCUUUUCUUUCACAUGCAUUUUUCUUUUUCAUUCUUUUGAACUCAAUGCUUUUCUUUUUCUUUUGCCUUUCACUUUCCCCAUUCAACCCCAAACUUAAACCUUUUC
rnacentral:lncRNA from 1 species